AUGAGGCAUUGGUAUACAAUUUGAUCAAAAAGCAUAGGCCCACUCACCACGACAAGGUUGCCUCCUCGAGUGGGAACCUACUCUAAAUUUGGUGCGGCGCUGUGUGGUGACCACCGACGCUGCAGCACUGCACCAGAUGGCGGGGGGACCCAG